rnacentral:rRNA from 1 species
ACGGAAGGCAGCAGUGAGGAAUAUUGGUCAAUGGGCGGAAGCCUGAACCAGCCAUGCCGCGUGAAGGAAUAAGGCCCUAUGGGUCGUAAACUUCUUUUGACGGGGAGCAAUAAGUGUUACGUGUAACACGAUGAGAGUACUCGUCGAAUAAGCAUCGGCUAACUCCGUGCCAGCAGCCGCGGUAAUACGGAGGAUGCAAGCGUUAUCCGGAUUUAUUGGGUUUAAAGGGUGCGUAGGCUGUGUAUCAAGUCAGAGGUGAAAGCCUGGAGCUUAACUCUAGAACUGCCUUUGAUACUGGUACGCUGGAAUACUGUUGCCGUGGGAGGAAUGAGUAGUGUAGCGGUGAAAUGCAUAGAUAUUACUCAGAACACCGAUUGCGAAGGCAUCUCACGAAACAGCGAUUGACGCUGAGGCACGAAAGCGUGGGGAUCAAACAGGAUUAGAUACCCUGGUA